CCAUUCCCGACACGGGGAGGUAGUGACGAAAAAUAACAAUACAGGACUCUAACGAGGCCCUGUAAUUGGAAUGAGUACAUUCUAAAACUUUUAACGAGUAUCCAUUGGAGGGCAAGUCUGGUGCCAGCAGCCGCGGUAAUUCCAGCUCCAACAGUGUAUGCUAAAGUUGUUGCGGUUGAAAAGCUCGUAGUUGGAUCUAGGGCGGGCGCCGCCGGUCCGUCGCAAGGCGUGUCACUGGCGGCGUGUGCCUUGCCUUCGGUUCUCCGUCGGUGCUCUUGACUGAGUGUCGGCGGUGGCCGAUAAGUUUACUUUGAAAAAAUUAGAGUGUUCAAAGCAGGCUGUUCGCCUGCAUAGUGUUGCAUGGAAUAAUGGAAUAGGACCUCGGUUCUAUUUUGUUGGUUUUCGGAGCACGAGGUAAUGAUUAAGAGGGACAGACGGGGGCGUCCGUACUCUGCCGUUAGAGGUGAAAUUCUUGGAUCGGCGGAAGACGAACUACUGCGAAAGCAUUCGCCAAGAAUGUUUUCUUUAAUCAAGAGCGAAAGUCAGAGGUUCGAAGACGAUCAGAUACCGUCCUAGUUCUGACUAUAAACGAUGCCAACUAGCGAUCGGGAGGCGUUACCAUGACGACCUUCCCGGCAGCUUCCGGGAAACCAAAGUCUUUGGGUUCUGGGGGAAGUAUGGUUGCAAAGCUGAAACUUAAAGGAAUUGACGGAAGGGCACCACCAGGAGUGGAGCCUGCGGCUUAAUUUGACUCAACACGGGGAAACUCACCCGGCCCGGACACAGGAAGGAU
rnacentral:rRNA from 1 species